rnacentral:rRNA from 1 species
GAUGAACGCUGGCGGCGUGCCUAAUACAUGCAAGUCGAGCGAACUGAUUAGAAGCUUGCUUCUAUGACGUUAGCGGCGGACGGGUGAGUAACACGUGGGCAACCUGCCUGUAAGACUGGGAUAACUUCGGGAAACCGAAGCUAAUACCGGAUAGGAUCUUCUCCUUCAUGGGAGAUGAUUGAAUGAUGGUUUCGGCUAUCACUUACAGAUGGGCCCGCGGUGCAUUAGCUAGUUGGUGAGGCAACGGCUCACCAAGGCAACGAUGCAUAGCCGACCUGAGAGGGUGAUCGGCCACACUGGGACUGGGACACGGCCCAGACUCCUACGGGAGGCAGCAGUAGGGAAUCUUCCGCAAUGGACGAAAGUCUGACGGAGCAACGCCGCGUGAGUGAUGAAGGCUUUCGGGUCGUAAAACUCUGUUGUUAGGGAAGAACAAGUACAAGAGUAACUGCUUGUACCUUGACGGUACCUAACCAGAAAGCCACGGCUAACUACGUGCCAGCCGCCGCAGUAA